rnacentral:rRNA from 1 species
CCUACGGGAGGCAGCAGUAGGGAAUUUUCGUCAAUGGGCGCAAGCCUGAACGAGCAAUGCCGCGUGAACGAGGAAGGUCUUCGGAUCGUAAAGUUCUGUUGAAGGGGAAAAAGAGCGGAGAGAGGAAAUGAACUCCGAUUGAUAUUACCCUUCGAGGAAGUCACGGCUAACUACGUGCCAGCAGCCGCGGUAAUACGUAGGUGGCGAGCGUUAUCCGGAAUGAGUGGGCGUAAAGGGUGCGUAGGCGGCCUGCUAAGUCGUGGGGGAAAGGUACCGGCUCAACCGGUACAGGCCAUGGAAACUGGCGAGCUAGAGAGCAGGAGAGGGCGGUGGAACUCCAUGUGUAGCGGUAAAAUGCGUAGAUAUAUGGAAGAACACCAGUGGCGAAGGCGGCCGCCUGGCCUGUUACUGACGCUGAGGCACGAAAGCGUGGGGAGCAAAUAGGAUUAGAUACCCCUGUAGUC